rnacentral:lncRNA from 1 species
UCUCAAUACAUUUUAAGAAGAAUUAAUGGCUGUCAAAGGAAAAAGGUAGGAGUGAGGGAUUUUUGCCAUGCAGUUCUUGAUACAGAGGAUGGGCCAGGAGAAGGAUCUCAGGUGUGCUCUCACCUUUCUUCACAGCUUCCUCAUUAAGUGACUUGAGUACUUCCUUCCUCUUGUCCUGGUUACCUGCCAGGGCAAAAGCAUAGGCCAGCAGUGCUUUGGUAUAUACAUGGCUGCCAUGGUCCCCUUCUUGUGCUGUCUUCCAGGCUGACUCCAGGCAAAACAGGGCAUUGCGGACAACAGGGUGCUGUGAAGGCAGAACAAGAAGGGAACUAAGCUAUGUAAACAGGCAUAUUAGCAUUCCCAGGCAAAUACACGGAUCACAGCACAGAAGUUUUUCAAACGCAUUUUUCCAACGAUUCCU